GAGGAAAAGAAACUAACAAGGAUUCCCCUAGUAACGGCGAGUGAAGAGGGAAGAGCCCAAGUUUGAAAGCUGGCGUCUUCGGCGUCCGCAUUGUAAACUCGAGAAGCGUUUUCCGCGCCGGACCAAGCUCAAGUCCCUUGGAAUAGGGCAUCAUAGAGGGUGAGAGUCCCGUACUUGGCUUGGAGUCCCCGGGGCUUUGUGAUACGCUCUCCAAGAGUCGAGUUGUUUGGGAAUGCAGCUCAAAAUGGGUGGUAAAUGCCAUCUAAGGCUAAAUAUCGAGGAGAGACCGAUAGCGAACAAGUACCGUGAGGGAAAGAUGAAAAGAACUUUGGAAAGAGAGUUAAACAGUACGUGAAAUUGCCGGAAGGGAAGGGUAGGGAGUCAGAUAUGCUGUGCGGAUUCAGCCUUGUCUUUGGACUUGGUGUAUUUUCGUAUUGGCAGGCCAGCAUCGGUUUGUGCCGCUGGAUAUAGGCUUGGGGAAUGUGGCUUUGUCUUCGGUAAAGUGUUAUAGCCCCUUGCUGAGUACAGCGGCAUGGACCGAGGCACGCAGCGCACCCUCUGGGCGGGCCCUCGGGCACCUUUGCGCUUAGGAUGCUGGCUUAAUGGCUCUCUGCCACCCGU
rnacentral:rRNA from 1 species